AAUACAUGCAAGUCGAGCGAAUGGAUUAAGAGCUUGCUCUUAUGAAGUUAGCGGCGGACGGGUGAGUAACACGUGGGUAACCUGCCCAUAAGACUGGGAUAACUCCGGGAAACCGGGGCUAAUACCGGAUAACAUUUUGAACCGCAUGGUUCGAAAUUGAAAGGCGGCUUCGGCUGUCACUUAUGGAUGGACCCGCGUCGCAUUAGCUAGUUGGUGAGGUAACGGCUCACCAAGGCAACGAUGCGUAGCCGACCUGAGAGGGUGAUCGGCCACACUGGGACUGAGACACGGCCCAGACUCCUACGGGAGGCAGCAGUAGGGAAUCUUCCGCAAUGGACGAAAGUCUGACGGAGCAACGCCGCGUGAGUGAUGAAGGCUUUCGGGUCGUAAAACUCUGUUGUUAGGGAAGAACAAGUGCUAGUUGAAUAAGCUGGCACCUUGACGGUACCUAACCAGAAAGCCACGGCUAACUACGUGCCAGCAGCCGCGGUAAUACGUAGGUGGCAAGCGUUAUCCGGAAUUAUUGGGCGUAAAGCGCGCGCAGGUGGUUUCUUAAGUCUGAUGUGAAAGCCCACGGCUCAACCGUGGAGGGUCAUUGGAAACUGGGAGACUUGAGUGCAGAAGAGGAAAGUGGAAUUCCAUGUGUAGCGGUGAAAUGCGUAGAGAUAUGGAGGAACACCAGUGGCGAAGGCGACUUUCUGGUCUGUAACUGACACUGAGGCGCGAAAGCGUGGGGAGCAAACAGGAUUA
rnacentral:rRNA from 1 species